UACGUAGGGUGCGAGCGUUGUCCGGAAUUACUGGGCGUAAAGAGCUCGUAGGUGGUUUGUCGCGUUGUUCGUGAAAUCCCACGGCUUAACUGUGGGCGUGCGGGCGAUACGGGCAGACUGGAGUACUGCAGGGGAGACUGGAAUUCCUGGUGUAGCGGUGGAAUGCGCAGAUAUCAGGAGGAACACCGGUGGCGAAGGCGGGUCUCUGGGCAGUAACUGACGCUGAGGAGCGAAAGCGUGGGGAGCAAACAGG
rnacentral:rRNA from 1 species